GUCCCCCGGCGGUCCCCCCGUGCCCCCCAGCAAGGCUUCCAGCGGGGCAGGGCCUGGCGUGGCCCCCGCCCUUCCUGCAGCUCUUGCCAGAGCAGCUCUGGGCCGGUUUGAGGCCUCUCGUGGCACUUCCGGCGAGAGGUUAUAGACAGCCCGGACACCCCCGGAGCCGAGGGGAGCCCCAGGGGGGACCCGAAUUGGCCUUAAGGAGCUCUGCCCCACGCCUCAAACCAUCAAUCAAGGGGCUCGGGGGGUCUGGGCCGGUGCCGGUGACGCCGAUCUCUCCCUCUCUGCUUCCAGGUUCCUGCUGGGACCAUCCAGAAGAACAUUGGAGUCCAUCAGGAGUGAGGAGAUGGCAGUGUCUUCACUGUCCCAUCAUGGUUCCUGCUGGGACCAUCCAGAAGAACAUUGGAGUCCAUCAUGAGUGAGGAGAUGGCAGUGUCUUCACUCUCCCAUCAUGGUUCCUCCCUGGACCAUCCGGAAGGCCGUUGGAAGCCACCAGGGUUGAGGAGGUGGUUGUGUCCAUGGAGGUGGUGGUGUCCCCACUCUCCUGUGGUGGUAAUGAGCCCAGUUGUGCUCCAUGCAUGGGGACUGGGAGUCACUGGGAGGAGCGGGAGUCACUGGGAGGAGAGGAAUUGACUGGAGGGAACAGGGAUUGCUGGGCUUGGGGGGACUGGGAGUCACUGGGGCAACUGGGAGUCACUGGGCCAGGGAGUCUGAGGGGCACUGGUUGGACUGGGAGUCACUGGGGCAACUGGGAGUCACUGGGCCAGGGAGUCUGAGGGUCACUGGGGGGACUGGGAGUCAUUGGGGCAACUGGGAGUCACUGGGCCAGGGAGUCUGAGGGUCACUGGGGCAACUGGAAGUCACUGGGGCAACUGGGAGUCACUGGGCCAGGGAGUCUGAGGGCCACUGGUUGGACUGGGAGCC